AUCUCUGAUUCAUUGAUUUUUUUGUGUCAUUCCUUAGUCUCCAUUGCAUUGAUUUCUGCUCUGAUUUUUAUAAUUUCCUCUCUUUUAUGAGCUUUGGAUUUGUUAUGCUCUUCUUUUUCUAGAAGCUUGAAGUCCAGCAUUAGGUUAUUUAUAUGAGUUCUCUCUGUUUUCCCAAUAUGGGCAUUCAGUGCUAUGAAUUUCCCACGUAGGUUUGCUUUCAUUGUUUCCCUUAGAUUCUUGUAUGUUGUACUGGCAUUAUCAUUUACAUGUAGAAACUGUUUAAUUUCUUCUUUAAUUUCCUCUGUGACCUAUUGGUUGUUCAGGAGGGUGUUAUUCAGUUUCCAUGUGUUUGUGGGGGUUUUGUGGUUUCUUAUGUUAUUGAUCUCCAAUUUUAUUGCACUAUGGUCUGAUAAUAGAUAGGUGAUGACUUCAACUCUUUUGCAUUUACUUAAACAUGCCCUAUGAGCUAGCAUGUCAUCUAUUUGGAGAAUGAUCUGUGUGCUGAGGAAAAGUAUGCAUAUUCUGAUUUUGUGGGGUGGAACACUCUGUAGAUAUCUAAUAAGCCCAGUUUUUCAAUAGCUUGGUUCAGUUCUAGAACUUCGUUGUUGACUUUUUGUCUAGGUGAUCUAUUUGUGAUAGUGGGGUAUUGAGGUCCCCCACUACAAUUGUAUUAGUGCUUAUUUGGUUUUUUAUGACCAUAAAUAUUUGUUUUGUAUAUUUGAGGGCAUUUGUAUUUGGUGCAUAUAUAUUUGUAACUGUCAUAUCUUCCUCUUGGAUUGUUCCCUUCACAAGAAUGUAAUGACCAUCUUUGUCUCUCUUAAUUAGAUUUGGUUUGAAAUCUACUUUGUCUGCAAUUAAGAUUGCUACCCUUGCUUUUUUCUGGGUUUCUGUCACAUGGAGAACUGUUUUCCAUCCUUUUACUUUCAGUCUAUGAAUUUCUUUAUGAAUUAGGUAUGUUUCUUGUAUACAGCAUAUUGUUGGAUUUUGCUUCUUAAUCCAUUCUGCCAGCCUAUUUCUUUUGAUUGAUGAAUUGAGGCCAUUAACGUGGAUGGUUAUAAUCGAUAGAUAUUGACUCAUCUUUGUCAUGAUGUUUUACUUUCAUUGGCUGUUUUAUUUUUCCCCCUUAGCCUUUAUUUUCUUAUCUUGCCUGGUGUCUUCCCUGUAUUGGGCUUCAUGGAGCUGUGACCUUCGUUGUUGUUUUCUAGGAUAUUGUUUAGAAUUGCUUGUAGUGCUGGUUUGGUGCUCAUAAAAUUUCUUAGGUGUUCUUUGUCAUGCAAGUAUCUAAUUUCCCCAUUGAUUGUGAAAGAUAAUUUUGCAGGAUGCAACAGUCUAAGUUGGAAGUUAUUUUCUUUUAGGGCUUGAAAUAGUUCACUCCAGGCUCUCCUUGGGCUGAGGGUUUGUGUUGAGAAGUCUGCUGUGAUUCUGAUGGGAUUUCAUUUGUAGGUGAUUUGUUUCUUUUCUCUAACUGCUUAUAGGAUUUUGUUCUUCUGUUGGGUUUCUGGGAUCUUGACUAUUACAUGUCUAGGUAUAGAUUUUUUUUGAUUGUGGCUAAUUUAAGUUCUAUAUGCCUCACUUAUCUGUAUGUCAAAUUCUCUACCUGUAUCUGGGAAGUUUUCUGUUAUUACUUCCGUGAACAGUUUUUUUUUUUUUUAUGUCAUUUGUACUUUCUCCUGCUUUUUCAUGGACUCCUAUCAGUCUCAUGUUAUUCUUCUUUGCAUCAUCUAGCAGCUGGUGGAUUAUUUCUCAUGGUCCCUUACUAUUUUUGAGAAAUCUCUGUUUUCAUGCUCACUAAACGCAAUCCUGUCUUCUAUAUCUUAUAUUCUGUCUUCACAUUUGCUCAAUCUGCUGUGAAUACUUUCAAUGGAGUUUUUAAUCUCCUGUAUAUUUGUUUGAAUCUGUUUCAUGGAUUCCAUUUCUUUCCUAUGUUGGGUAUUCAUGAUUUCUAUUUCUUUCUCAUGCUGGGCAUUCAUGGCUUCCAACAUUUUUCUGAGCUCAUCUUUUUUUUUAUAAAUCUGUUUCUGUUCUAGAGUCUCUAAUCAUGUUGUUCACUCUGCUCACCAUCUUUGUAGUUAUCUGGGAAAUUAUUUCGUUUUGAAUUUUUCUAGAGCUGCAUUCAUUUGUUUUGUUACUUCUUGUGCUAUCCAUUCAGGGUGUCCAGGUCACUGACUAUCAUAUUUUUCCACCUCGUUUCCCACAGAAUUUGCCUUUGGUGAACUGAAAGUCUGGGUUUGUGUCCUGCCAAGGUGUCUUCUCAUUUUUAAUUCUGUUGUUGGUGCUGUUAUUUGCUUUAAUUCCUGAGCUGAUACUUCAAUUUUUUUUUUAUUGUGAGUAUCUUUGUUACUUGUGUUUAGAGCCCCUAUAGAGUGAUUGCUUCUCAGAGAUAUCUUCCAGAUAUAGCUAUACUUUUAGGCUUUGAGUCUCUAAUGACUCUUAGGCAAUCUCAUUUUCUGUAUACCAGGUACGACAACUGAUUAGAUCAAUCACAACACUUUAGUCCAAUUGACACAAUCAACAUCAACAAUAGCAUCAAACACAGUUUAGAAAAUGACAAUUUGUGGUAGCAGUUAAUUUGUCACCUUUAACCUUGUGAGCUAGAUCAAAAUCUAGGGCCAGGGCAAAAUAUGUUUGUAGUAAGUAAACCCUUUAAUAUGGCAAAUUUUCCCUUUGGGAUAAGGAUUUAGAAGGGCUUGGGGAGGGAGGGAUAGAGAGAUAGAGGGAGAGGGAAAGGUUAGAGGUGAGGCUAGAGGACACAGGAAGAUCACACAAAUUGUGGGGAUCUGUUGAAGACAGGAGGAAAAAACAGCAAAAGAACAGAGACAAUUACAGACCAAACUGACAACAAUAGGGAAGCUAGAAAUUCAUAUUCACCUUCCUAUAAUAGUGACAGUCGAGAUGACGAGAGAGAGAAAACAAUUCAAAAUGGGACAGGAACAGGAAAAAAAGAAAGAGAGAGAUAUAGAGCCAGGAGGGAUAGAGAGAGAAAAAAAGAAAAGAAAAAAAACAAACAAAAUAAAACAAAACAAAAUGUUCUCCCUCAGAAUAUGUGUCUGCUCUCCUGGUAGACAAUGUGGGCAGCAGUGUGCGGGUCCAAGUCUAUUAGUCUCAGCAAGCCAGCUGUAGUCUACUGAGAUUCAGGCCGAUUUCUGGCUGCAAGGUCCAAAUUGAGGUCCCUGACCUCCUGCAGGAUUAAACUCUGCAAGGUUCUACUGCAGGUUCCAGUUGUCCUCCCCGCUAUGCGAGUCUGGGUUUCUAUGGGAAGUGCUAAUCCCACCAAUUUACCAACCAUGAUGGUCCAGUAUGCUUUUCUUGAAGAGUUUUUCUUCACUUUCCCAGUGGGCUUCAAUUUUCAUUGAAGAGCCUCAGAGAGGCCCUCUUUGUUGUUCACUUCUGCUCUAUCUUCUGGGGGCUCAUAACCAUGGCCUUUAUGUUCCCGCUGGCACCUCUGCUGUGCGGAUUCAUUUU
ensembl:lncRNA